CCUACGGGGGGCUGCAGUGAGGAAUAUUGGUCAAUGGCCGGGAGGCUGAACCAGCCAAGUCGCGUGAGGGAAGACGGCCCUACGGGUUGUAAACCUCUUUUGUCAGGGAGCAAGGUGCAGGUCGGGACCUGCUGUGAGAGUACCUGAAGAAAAAGCAUCGGCUAACUCCGUGCCAGCAGCCGCGGUAAUACGGAGGAUGCGAGCGUUAUCCGGAUUUAUUGGGUUUAAAGGGUGCGCAGGCGGAGGCAAAAGUCAGCGGGAAAAUCGUGGGGCUCAACCCCGCUCCGCCGUUGAAACGGUGUCCGUGGAGUACAGGAAGGGUGGGCGGAAUGCGUGGUGUAGCGGUGAAAUGCAGAGAUAUCACGCAGAACUCCGAUCGCGAAGGCAGCCUACCGGCGCGCAACUGACGCUCAUGCACGAAAGCGUGGGUAUCGAACAGGAUUAGAUACCCGAGUAGUC
rnacentral:rRNA from 1 species